UGUUAUUCGCCAAACUAAUACAAAAUCCAAAUCUGUUUGUAGAUUUUCAAAGCUUAAAUCAUUUGAGUCGUUGAAUUGGAUAACAAAAUUAUGCAGAAUUAUUACCACCCAAGUUUUGAGUUACAAAAUUCUUGGGGAAAUUCGUCUGAUUCUGAUAUUUUCACCCCAGAUUCUAACAUUAUCUAGUGGUUUGUGUCUAUAUGCAGAAUUUAUCAAUCAUCUGGGAAACCUAGAAACCUAUUUAUAAGCUUGGCAACAGGGGUUGCAUCACCUGCAGGGUAUGGAAGAAGAGACUCCAAAUCCAUAUCUGCUAUUGUACGGUGGAGUGUUCGAGGACGAGCACAAUAUAAAUGCUUCCUCUCUGCUAGUUCUUCUGCAAGUUCACUUUGAUGAUUGUCCAUCAGAUCUUCAUUCACCACUACAAUUAGAGGUUUUCCAAGCCGCAAAGUCUCAAAUAUACUCCCUGACCCUACAUCAUGAUCAGAACCAGUUAAUGCUCCUUUUGCUAUCCAAAGUAAAGGUAUGAAACUUUAUUACUCAACUUUUUUAGUCCAUAACUUCUAUGGGUACUAAUGCAGUUAUCCACUUUAUCUCUCACUUUCUCAUAAGCAACACAAACACUCUGAAUCUUUCUAAGACAUUGACAAAAAAAACUACAGUAUGAUGCCAUGGCAGAUGAGCAUUAAAAAAGAAAGCGCCAAAGCUAAUUGACAUUCAACAGUCAACUUGAUAAAAUUCCUAGAACAUAUGCCCGGCACAUCAGAAAUUUAUCAUCUAGUUUCAAUCUCUACCAUAUAUGUCUGCAAAUAAUAAAAUUAGCAUCAUACCCAAUGUUGCCAACUUAGUAAUUAAACACAUUUUCUGGAAAAAUAAAAAAAUUUGUUCAGACAUUUAUAAAUAAACUUUUUUUCCUCUAGAUAAACUGAACUACAGAACCAGCCAACCCAACCAGCCCUUUAACUCUACCUAUAAUAUAGAAGAGGGGGUUAAUGAUAGCCAUGUUAAUUUUCAAUAUUUACCAAACUACCAAUGUAUGAGAUGAUAAUUGAAGAGAAUGUGUAAAUAUUGCAACAGUAGGAAUGUUAGAAUAUGACCUUAACACCACCAAAUAUCAAGCAGAAAUAUAUAACAUAAGAGUUUACCAGCAUGGCUGAUGACAAGAGAUGCUGAUCUUAGAUGAUCUGCAAUACUUGAUGAAAAAGUGAAGUAAUCAACAGCCACUGAUCCAUCUUCUGCUUCAGACUGCACUUAAAAGAAAAUUUUAAGAAACAUGAUAUACGUGAACCAGAAGACUAAUAAAAGCCUAAAGAAGAAAGCAACUUUAAGAAGAAAAGGAGAUGUCUUUGUUUAAUCAAAAUUCUACUGAAGUGCAACAGUUUCUUCAAGAAUUUGGUUUAUUUAGGCAACAUGAGAAUAUGAAGAAUUUUAUCACAAAAAAAAUAUAAUAAAAAGAAAAAGACCUAAUCCUAACCCAACGAUUUACCCCUUGAACACAAAUAAUAAAAAGAAGAAAAUAUUAUUGAAAUUUCCAGGACAAGUAUUUCUUCAUCUUCAAAUUUCAAAAUGCAUUUUAUUAUUCCAUAUUGAGUGAAUUGGAUAUCUUUCAGUUCUGUCCAAUAUCACUUAAACAAUAUUUUACACAAACAAUAUUUUACACAAGUUGAUGACAAUUUUCAAAAUCAAGCCAACAUCAGAAACAACAUAAGUACUUCUCAAAUCUCAAGUGCAAUGUAUAGCUCAAGAACAUUUAGUGACCUUUUUGAGUGGCGAUAAUUUUAUCUAGCUUAAUCUCCAUGUAUAUUACUCUAUAUCCUGGUUUACAGGGGUUGCCUUAUAUAGCUACAUAAGAGGGAAUCCAUGCCAAUGGUCAAACUCCAAAACCUUCACGCAGAGACCCACAUGACUAUAACUGAGGACAUAUAUUUAUCUUUACUCUACAUUAUCAUGCAAUUUUAUUAUUACACUAAGGCUACAUUUGGUACAACGUAAUACAAAGGAAUGCAAUCAGAAUUGCAAUAGAAUCAAAGUUGUGAUGUAAUGCAAUGUAUUAAGCAUUACAUUACAUUGUUUGGAAGAACAAAAAUGUAAUGAAAUUGCUAUUAUAAUUUCAUGUUUGUUUACAUAUAUAUGUUUAUAAAAUGUAUUCAAAUUAGUAAUAAGAUUUUAAUAAAUAAUAUUAUUUUAUUAAUAUUAUUUUAAUUUGAGAUUAUUAAUAUUUUCACUACUACCAUCACCACCACCAUAAAAUUAAUUUUAUCAUUUUUAUAUUAAUAGCACAAGCUGUUUCAAUCCAAAAUACCAAAUUCUUAAUAAGCAGUUAAGAAUAUGUUCAAUACAAGUUUAAUUUUGAAUUAAUGCUCAUUAGAUUAAUUUAACCCUUUAUGACAAUUUAUUUAUCCUUUCUAAUUAAUUAGCUUGAACAAUUAAGGGUUGUAUCAAUUUUUUGAAAGACCUUUUAGGCCAUGUAAUCACAAUUGGCAGAGUAGGGGAAAAAAAAUUGCCAUGGAAAAUGGCAUAGAAAACGCUAGCAAAAGCUCCAAAAAAAAAAAAAA
rnacentral:misc_RNA from 1 species